rnacentral:rRNA from 1 species
UACGUAGGGGGCAAGCGUUGUCCGGAAUCAUUGGGCGUAAAGCGCGUGUAGGCGGUCCGGUAAGUCCGCUGUGAAAGUCGGGGGCUCAACCCUCGGAUGCCGGUGGAUACUGUCGGGCUCGAGUACGGAAGAGGCGAGUGGAAUUCCUGGUGUAGCGGUGAAAUGCGCAGAUAUCAGGAGGAACACCGGUGGCGAAGGCGGGGUCUCUGGGC